rnacentral:misc_RNA from 1 species
GAUGAAGAACGUAGCGAAAUGCGAUAAGUAAUGUGAAUUGCAGAAUUCAGUGAAUCAUCGAAUCUUUGAACGCACAUUGCGCCCGCCAGUAUUCUGGCGGGCAUGCCUGUCUGAGCGUCAUUUCAACCCUCAUGCCCCUAGGGCGUGGUGUUGGGGAUCGGCCAAAGCCCGCGAGGGACGGCCGGCCCCUAAAUCUAGUGGCGGACCCGUCGUGGCCUCCUCUGCGAAGUUGUGAUAUUCCGCAUCGGAGAGCGAUGAGCCCCUGCCGUUAAACCCCCAACUUUCCAAGGUUGACCUCAGAUCAGGUAGGAAUACCCGCUGAACUUAAGCAUAUCAAUAAGCGGAGGA